AUGUUGACAUUUGGACUCCAGACUUGCAGCAGGGGCUAUUCCUCAUUAUGUCCACCAGAAAAUCGAAGGGAUACAUGGAAUCUGCAGUUUCAUCUCCCUGUCUCAAUACGCAAAAACCACAGAUGGCGGGAGUUUCUGACCUCUAAACAACCUGCGCAUCAAAAAGAUUCACUCAUGCUAUGGCCUUUUCCCAAAGUGAGUUCACUUCAGAGCUCGUGUCCCACAUAUUCAAAUUCCAGCUGUGUGGCGGUUUCAAAAGCAAACAAGGACCCCACAUAUGAGAGCAUCAGCAGUUUUCUUUUUCUGCUGAAUGUGUUGGCAGGGGGUCAUCUCUCAACCAGAAGGGACUCACUGACACGCAUGCACCGGCUGUUGACCCAUUUAGCAGUCCCAUAUUUGGACAGCAGUGAAAACAGAAAGAAAGCAUGUUACAUUGAGGGGGAAUUGACUAAAUUUACAAUAAAUUUGAAUCAGGAUCAUGUUGCCGCUCCCUCUCUGUCUCUUUUCUCUCACAGGCAAGCAGAUCAACCUCGUCUUUGGUUCGAGGUUUUCCCUUCGCUACACUAAACCCAAGUGGGCCACAGUAGCCGAGUGAUGACACAUGCGCAUGAAGCACGCACCUCACAGUAUCCUUCAGGGACAAAUUAUCAUCGCAAAGGACGAAUGAGAGGAAUUCCCAGAGGUGCCAGCGACUCCGUGGCCUGAAGCUUUUUCAGCAUGGUUGACUUACUUGCUCUUGCUCAUGUUUUACACUGUAUAUAGUCUGUAUAUAAUGACCUUUACUAGUGCAAUUACAAGCUCACAACACCAUCAUGCAGCACCAAUGCACAAUGUCUCUCAUAUUUUGAACAUGUACUAAUGGCAUGAUAAAUAAAACUGCUGUUUUUAAAUCCUAAAUGCAACUUUAAAGCAGCACAGUUGGGAUUUUUCAACUGAAUUGGAUUACAAACACAAAGAAAUCACAUAGAAAUCUAAACAUAACCCAAGUGUCAAAGUGCAACCAUGUGUACAUGUAAACUCAGUGGUUCUGCAUUAGAAUUUAUUGUGUGGGUGUGGGUUUGUCUUACUGUAAUACAUUUCAGAUCAGUGAGGUGAUGGUGUGGCGGCUCCUCUUUAAUAAAAUGGAGGUUUCAUGUGCAAAAUGCGAUUGCGUAAGUUUCUGACCUCUCUGUAGGCACAGCGUUUUGGUAUCAUUGGAUCCUCCAGGGGUCCUGGUGCAGCCUAAACCUGAUGUCACGACACAAACUGGCCUUGUUAUUCCUUAUGCAUCUGCCUACAAGACCUCUG
rnacentral:lncRNA from 1 species